AGUGGCGGACGGGUGAGUAACACGUAGGUAACCCGCCAAGAAGCGGGGGACAACAUUUGGAAACAGAUGCUAAUACCGCAUAACAGCGUUGUUCGCAUGAACAACGCUUAAAAGAUGGCUUCUCGCUAUCACUUCUGGAUGGACCUGCGGUGCAUUAGCUUGUUGGUGGGGUAACGGCCUACCAAGGCGAUGAUGCAUAGCCGAGUUGAGAGACUGAUCGGCCACAAUGGGACUGAGACACGGCCCAUACUCCUACGGGAGGCAGCAGUAGGGAAUCUUCCACAAUGGGCGCAAGCCUGAUGGAGCAACACCGCGUGAGUGAAGAAGGGUUUCGGCUCGUAAAGCUCUGUUGUUAAAGAAGAACACGUAUGAGAGUAACUGUUCAUACGUUGACGGUAUUUAACCAGAAAGUCACGGCUAACUACGUGCCAGCAGCCGCGGUAAUACGUAGGUGGCAAGCGUUAUCCGGAUUUAUUGGGCGUAAAGAGAGUGCAGGCGGUUUUCUAAGUCUGAUGUGAAAGCCUUCGGCUUAACCGGAGAAGUGCAUCGGAAACUGGAUAACUUGAGUGCAGAAGAGGGUAGUGGAACUCCAUGUGUAGCGGUGGAAUGCGUAGAUAUAUGGAAGAAC
rnacentral:rRNA from 1 species